AAGAAACCAACAGGGAUUGCCCUAGUAACGGCGAGUGAAGCGGCAACAGCUCAAAUUUGAAAUCUGGCGCAAGCCCGAGUUGUAAUUUGUAGAGGAUGCUUCUGGGUAGCGGCCGGUCUAAGUUCCUUGGAACAGGACGUCAUAGAGGGUGAGAAUCCCGUAUGUGACUGGCUUGCACCCUCCACGUAGCUCCUUCGACGAGUCGAGUUGUUUGGGAAUGCAGCUCUAAAUGGGAGGUAAAUUUCUUCUAAAGCUAAAUACCGGCCAGAGACCGAUAGCGCACAAGUAGAGUGAUCGAAAGAUGAAAAGCACUUUGGAAAGAGAGUUAAAAAGCACGUGAAAUUGUUGAAAGGGAAGCGCCCGCAACCAGACUUUGCGGCAGUGUUCGGCCGGUCUUCUGACCGGUUUACUCGCUGUCGUGAGGCCAUCAUCGUCUGGGACCGCUGGAUAAGACCUUAGGAAUGUAGCUCCCCUCGGGGAGUGUUAUAGCCUCUGGUGAUGCAGCGCGUCUCGGGCGAGGUCCGCGCUUCGGCAAGGAUGAUGGCGUAAUGGUUGUCGGCGGCCCGUCUUGAAACACGGACCAAGGAGUCUAACAUCUAUGCGAGUGUUCGGGUGUCAAACCCCUACGCGUAAUGAAAGUGAACGGAGGUGGGAACUUUUUGUGCACCAUCGACCGAUCCUGAUGUCCUCGGAUGGAUUUGAGUAAGAGCAUAGCUGUUGGGACCCGAAAGAUGGUGAACUAUGCCUGAAUAGGGUGAAGCCAGAGGAAACUCUGGUGGAGGCUCGCAGCGGUUCUGACGUGCAAAUCGAUCGUCAAAUUUGGGUAUAGGGGCGAAAGACUAAUCGAACCA
rnacentral:rRNA from 1 species